rnacentral:rRNA from 1 species
GAUGAACGCUGACAGAAUGCUUAACACAUGCAAGUCUUUGGCGAAGCUGUGCUCGCACAGCCUAGCCAAGGCGGACGGGUGAGUAACGCGUAAGGAACUUGCCCUGCAGUCAGGGAUAACAGACGGAAACGACUGAUAAGACCUGGUAAAGUCAGGCGGACUCAUGUCCAGCCUGAUGAAAAGAGAUGCUGCAGGAGAGCCUUGCGUCCUAUUAGCUUGUUGGUGGGGUAACGGCCCACCAAGGCGAUGAUAGGUAGCCGGCCUGAGAGGGUGGACGGCCACAAGGGGACUGAGAUACGGCCCUUACUCCUACGGGAGGAAGCAGUGGGGAAUAUUGGACAAUGGGGGCAACCCUGAUCCAGCAAUUCUGUGUGCACGAUGAAGGUUUUCGGAUUGUAAAGUGCUUUCAGCAGGGAAGAAAAAAAUGACGGUACCUGCAGAAGAAGCGACGGCUAAAUACGUG